GUGGCACUGUUACUGAGAGGGGCCUCACCCUACCUCACUACCACACCCAUCACACACACACACACACACACACACACACACACACACACACACAUCCAUUAUUUUAGUAUAAUAAUCAGUUAAAUCCGUUACAAUGUGAAGGACCAGACCUUUGUGUGUGUUUUAAACAAUGCGCUGACCAUAUUAAUGAACAAUAAAAUAUUAUAAAACUGUCUUUACAAAACCCCAAGCUAGUAGUCAACUGAUCCUCAUCUAUGAAAUGAGUCAUAACAUCAUUUCUUUGAUACUGUGGUUUAUAACACAUUUAAUAGCUUUAGUCAGUCUCGUGAACCGGAGGCUGAAUUCAAAAUGUGAACAAUAGUUUCAUUCAUAAGAACAUUUUUAUCAGUCUCUCAAAACAGUCCAAAACACAGCUUUUCAUUUCAGAGCAACACAAAUUUUGUGUUAAGAUAUUAAACAUGACUUUAUACUAAACUAAAAUUUGAGUUUAUGGAACUUAAAACAUUUGCUUCCUUUGAUUUAUUAGAAGAUAAAUAUAUGGUUUUCAGAUAAUUUUUACUCUCGUUAAUUUACUCUUAAGUUAAAGGGAGUCAAAUGUUUGUGCUGCUCCUACUUUUCCAUUUUUUCCCGGUUUAUAAAUGAGCAUGUCCUCAAGAGCUGUACCGGGAAUAACAUGUCGCAGUUAAAUAUGAAUAGUUGACUAUAUUUUAUUGAGGUGCCAGUAUUUGAACAGGGUUCAACAGGAUCUUCAGAGGAGCGUCAUGGGAGGGAUCCCUCUCCAAGGAGGACAGGAGUGCGAUAGAUGUCACGUAUAGCUGAACACAUCAGUAGGAAGUUGAUAGGCUCUCUAUAGACAGUCUCUGGUCACCAUUGUUUUAUUUUUAAUCCAAGAGACCAUUUGACACCUCAGAGACACAUGUUUAAAAAGACAUAACAGUCUUCUUCAUUAUAUUUAAAAACCAGGUCAUCGAUUUAAAGCAUAAAAACUCAUCUUUGCUGUGGAAAGAACCAUAUUUUCAUUUCGGUUUUUAUUGAAAAAAUAUCCCUUAAUGGACAUUAAUGUAUUGCACCAACGUGAACAGCCAAACAACGUUUUAUAUGAAUAAUUAAAAACACAGUUACUUAACAUGAUGACGAUUUAUGAAGAGGAAGAAGAAGAUGUGGUAGAUAUGACCGAAGAGUUGCAUUUACAACUUCACAAGAGGUUGUUAACAAUGGACUGUUUGCAAAUGUCACACUUAUUAAAAAUUAUUUACAACGAUGUCAGUUUAGUAUACAUCCAUUUUAUUUGGAGCCCCAGGAAUGGGAGUGAUUGUGUUCCAGAGCAGAUUAAGGGUUUCCAUGGUGAUCAACCUCGUGAAAAGUUAUCUUGUUUUGUGAUACCCACAAAGUAAAUCCCACAGAGAGUUGGAUAAGACACUGGUCUGGCCUCAGUCGUCUGUUCAGGAGCAAAGGAAGUCAAAUCAUCUUUAUGGUCCAUUUAGAUGAAUCUACAACAACACAAAAAUAAGUUAAUUUUAGCCCUAAUACAUAAUUAUAGAACAAAUACUCAAAUGAGCAUGAUGGUGUGUUGUCUGUAGUUUGUUUAUGGCCCAGUAAACAGCUCAACAAUACAGGGUGAGCAGUCAUUUCUGCUUUAAGUGGAUAGUGAACAUGGUCAUAACACACUGUAUAGACCAGGGGUGGGCAAACUUUUAGAUUCGCGGGCCACAAUGAGUUCUAAAAUUUGACAGAGGGGCCGGGCCAGGACCAGAUGGAUGGAGUUUUUUUGUGAACUAAUAUAAAUGACAUGGAAAAAUCAUUACAUGAAAGGAUUUGGCCUUUAACAAGUAGCAAAGCAUUUAUUAGCAAGGCAAUUUAACAAAAACUCGCCUUCGGAGAAAGGCUUGCUAGCCUUUGCUAUUUCGAAUGCAACCAAAAAACUUGCCUUGGUAGUUGACUCUUGAAUCGCAGUUUGUUGGUGAAAAAAAUGUUGCUGAGUCUGUAAAUGAGCCGCCAACCUCUGAGCCGUAGCCGCCCGUUCUUGCGUUGACUGCUUGCUAGCGUAGUUAGCAUGCUUCGUAGCAAAGUGACGGCUGAUUAUUUUGUUGUCCACUCCGUGUUAAACACUCGGCACUCAUUGUCCACCUUUCGUUUCCUUGAUCCGGUCAUUUUACAGAAGGGCUCACAGGGCAAAGCGAAAAAGUGAAGGGAGAUCAUG